CUUGGGAAGUGCUUCGAGUUACCACCAUCCUGGAGUGUUCGACUUUUCUUGGAAAGAGUGUUCGACUUUUGCUUGUAGAAAAGUCGAUCUUCAAAAAGUCGAUCCUUAGUGCACUUGGAGGAUUCCUUGGAAGUCGAUGCCUGAAAGCCUAGCUCCUUGAGGGAUCGACUUUUUUCCUUGGAAGAAAAAGUUGAUCUUCUGAAAAGUUGAUCCCUUGCUGGCUGAUUUCCUCGCAAGACUCCCUAGCUGGCGACUUGGAAAAAAGUCGAUCACUUUUUUUCGAAAAAGUCGAGGAGCUUUUGUCAUGAGUAUCUUUGAAUCACAGACGGCGCCAACUGAUGGGGGUGAAACCCGACCAGUACUCCAAGACGCGCAAGCAAGCGCCAAGCGGGGAACUCCGCGGGAAACCGGACCGGAACUCAAGU
rnacentral:lncRNA from 1 species